rnacentral:rRNA from 1 species
AUGCUGAUUAUGUUGAUUGUGAUGUGGUACCUAUGCAAGCAUGUUCCUUAUUACUUGGUCGACCAUGUCAAUUUGAUAAAAAUCCUAUACACCAUGGUAGAAACAAUCAUUAUACUCUGGUUCAUAAGGAUAAAAAUAUUACAUUGCUUCCUAGGACUCCUGAUUCCAUUUUGA